UGCUGGAGGUAUCAGAAGUGCGAAUGCUGACAUAAGUAACGAUAAAGCGGGUGAAAAGCCCGCUCGCCGGAAGACCAAGGGUUCCUGUCCAACGUUAAUCGGGGCAGGGUGAGUCGACCCCUAAGGCGAGGCCGAAAGGCGUAGUCGAUGGGAAACAGGUUAAUAUUCCUGUACUUGGUGUUACUGCGAAGGGGGGACGGAGAAGGCUAUGUUAGCCGGGCGACGGUUGUCCCGGUUUAAGCAUGUAGGCUGGUUAUCCAGGCAAAUCCGGAUAAUCAAGGCUGAGGUGUGAUGACGAGGCACUACGGUGCUGAAGUAACAAAUGCCCUGCUUCCAGGAAAAGCCUCUAAGCAUCAGGUAACAUCAAAUCGUACCCCAAACCGACACAGGUGGUCAGGUAGAGAAUACCAAGGCGCUUGAGAGAACUCGGGUGAAGGAACUAGGCAAAAUGGUGCCGUAACUUCGGGAGAAGGCACGCUGGUGUGUAGGUGAAGUCCCUGCGGAUGGAGCUGAGACCAGUCGAAGAUACCAGCUGGCUGCAACUGUUUAUUAAAAACACAGCACUGUGCAAACACGAAAGUGGACGUAUACGGUGUGACGCCUGCCCGGUGCCGGAAGGUUAAUUGAUGGGGUUAUCCGUAAGGAGAAGCUCUUGAUCGAAGCCCCGGUAAACGGCGGCCGUAACUAUAACGGUCCUAAGGUAGCGAAAUUCCUUGUCGGGUAAGUUCCGACCUGCACGAAUGGCGUAAUGAUGGCCAGGCUGUCUCCACCCGAGACUCAGUGAAAUUGAACUCGCUGUGAAGAUGCAGUGUACCCGCGGCAAGACGGAAAGACCCCGUGAACCUUUACUAUAGCUUGACACUGAACAUUGAGCCUUGAUGUGUAGGAUAGGUGGGAGGCUUUGAAGCGUGGACGCCAGUCUGCGUGGAGCCAACCUUGAAAUACCACCCUUUAAUGUUUGAUGUUCUAACGUUGGCCCCUGACCGGGGUUGCGGACAGUGUCUGGUGGGUAGUUUGACUGGGGCGGUCUCCUCCCAAAGCGUAACGGAGGAGCACGAAGGUUAGCUAAUCCUGGUCGGACAUCAGGAGGUUAGUGCAAUGGCAUAAGCUAGCUUGACUGCGAGCGUGACGGCGCGAGCAGGUGCGAAAGCAGGUCAUAGUGAUCCGGUGGUUCUGAAUGGAAGGGCCAUCGCUCAACGGAUAAAAGGUACUCCGGGGAUAACAGGCUGAUACCGCCCAAGAGUUCAUAUCGACGGCGGUGUUUGGCACCUCGAUGUCGGCUCAUCACAUCCUGGGGCUGAAGUAGGUCCCAAGGGUAUGGCUGUUCGCCAUUUAAAGUGGUACGCGAGCUGGGUUUAGAACGUCGUGAGACAGUUCGGUCCCUAUCUGCCGUGGGCGCUGGAGAAUUGAGGGGGG
rnacentral:rRNA from 1 species